UACUCAAACUGUGAGUGGUCAGUCCAGCAGGAUGAUGCUGCUGCUUCCACUGUUUUUAUGGAUACUGUUGGUAUCCAAUACCCAGGUUUCUUCCCAAAGCCGUGACAAUCAUGUCCUGGACUUGGCACCACAGUUUAUCAUCCUAGUUCCAGCAAGGCUUAGGCUUGGAAUGAAGCUGAACAUUUUACUAGAGGCGCACAGCCUGUCCAAGCCAAUCACUGUCAACGUCACUGUCUAUACAUACCCGAACAGAUACGUCCUGACACGGGACUCUGCCAUCCUCAAUUCAAAAAAC